UACAGAGGUCUCAAGCGCUGUUCGGAAUUACUGGGCGUAAAGGGUGCGCAGGCCGCGCGGGCAGUCAAAUGUGUAAUUCAGGGGCUCAACCCCUGCACUGCGCUUGAUACUUCCGCGCUCGAGCUUUGGAGAGGAGUCUGGAAUUCUCGGUGUAGCAGUGAAAUGCGUGGAUAUCGAGAAGAACACUUAGGGCGUAGGCAAGACUCUGGACAAAUGCUGACGCUCAUACACGAAGGCUAGGGUAGCGAACGGG
rnacentral:rRNA from 1 species